GCGCUCUUAGCUCAGUUGGAAGAGCAACUGGUUUACACCCAGUAGGUCGGCGGUUCGAGCCCGUCAGAGCGCA
rnacentral:tRNA from 2 species